UAAAAGCAGGCUGCCUGAGCCAGCAGUGGCAACCUGUUCCGGUCCCCUUCCACACUGCGGAAGCAUUGUUCUUUCGCUCUUUGCAAUAAAUCUUGCUGCUGCUCUCUCUUUGGGUCCACACUGCCUUUAUGAGCUGUAACACUCAACACGCAGGUCUGCAGCUUCACUCUUGAAGCCAGCAAGACCAGGAACCCACCGGGAGAAAGGAACAACUCCAGACGCGCCGCCUUAAGAGCUGUAACACUCACUGCGAAGGUCUGCAGCUUCACUCCUGAGCCAGCGAGACCACGAUCCCACCAGAAGGAAGAAACUCCGAACACAUCCGAACAUCAGAAGGAACAAACUCCAGAGGCGCCAUCUUAAGAGCUGUAACACUGACCGUGAGGGUCGGCUUCAUACUUGAAGUCAGUGAGACGAAGAACCCACCAAUUCCGGACACAAUUUGACUUAAGCCAGGCCAUUAACAGUUUCUUUUGGAUCUUUUUGCAGAGCUACUAUGGAAGAUGCACUCUUUCUGCGGACCCUGCACUUGAUGGAUCAGCUGGCACCACCGACUAAUAAACUGGCUUAUCUGAUGUUGUGGCCUCCACUCAGGAACUGACUGAAGGCAGGAAGACAGCUUCAACUCCCUGUGAUUUCACCCCUGACCAAUCACCACACCUGGCUCACUGGCUACCCCCCAACUCCCACCCACCAAGUUAUCCUUAAAAACUCUGCUCUCCAAAUGCUCAGGGAGACUGAUUUGAGUAAUAAAACUCCAGUCUCCCACACAGCUGGCUCUGCGUGAAUUACUUUAUUGCAACUCCCCUGCCUUGAUGAAUUGGCUCUGUCUAGGCAGCAGGCAAGGUGAACCCCUUGGGUGGUUACAUUAGGACUUAAAAUAAUAAAUUAUUAAGAACCCUAGAGAGUCAUUUUUUUAAAUGGAUUAUAUCUAUCAAAACUUACAGUAUUACAAAUUAAAAUAAAUGAAAAUGUUUAUUGAAAAUAAUUAUUUACAUAAAUAAUGUCA
rnacentral:lncRNA from 1 species